rnacentral:tRNA from 1 species
GAAAUAUUAAAAAUUAAAUUUCUAAUUUAAUUUAUAGUGAUUAAAAUUUCAUUAAUAUUUCU